rnacentral:tRNA from 1 species
UUAAGGUAACUUAAUUCAUAGUGUUAAACUUUUAAUUUAAAAAUGGUCGUACAACCCCUUGGC